rnacentral:rRNA from 1 species
UAGGGAAUCUUCGGCAAUGGACGGAAGUCUGACCGAGCAACGCCGCGUGGGUGAAGAAGGUUUUCGGAUCGUAAAGCGCUGUUGUUAGAGAAGAACGUUGGUAGGAGUGGAAAAUCUACCAAGUGACGGUAACUAACCAGAAAGGGACGGCUAACUACGUGCCAGCAGCCGCGGUAAUACGUAGGUCCCGAGCGUUGUCCGGAUUUAUUGGGCGUAAAGCGAGCGCAGGCGGUUCUUUAAGUCUGAAGUUAAAGGCAGUGGCUUAACCAUUGUACGCUUUGGAAACUGAAGGACUUGAGUGCAGAAGGGGAGGGUGGAAUUCCAUGUGUAGCGGUGAAAUGCGUAGAUAUAUGACGGAACACCGAUGGCGAAAGCGGCUCUCUGGUCUGUAACUGACGCUGAGGCUCGAAAGCGUGGGGAGCAAACAGG